UACGUAGGGGGCAAGCGUUGUUCGGAAUUACUGGGCGUAAAGGGCGCGUAGGCGGUUCGAUAAGUCCCGUGUGAAAUCCCUCGGCUCAACUGAGGAAUGGCACGGGAAACUGACGGGCUUGAGUUCGGGAGAGGGAAGCGGAAUUCCGGGUGUAGCGGUGAAAUGCGUAGAUAUCCGGAGGAACACCGGUGGCGAAGGCGGCUUCCUGGACCGACACUGACGCUGAGGCGCGAAAGCUAGGGGAGCAAACGGG
rnacentral:rRNA from 1 species